rnacentral:misc_RNA from 1 species
GAUGAAGAACGCAGCGAAAUGCGAUAAGUAAUGUGAAUUGCAGAAUUCAGUGAAUCAUCGAAUCUUUGAACGCACAUUGCGCCCCUUGGUAUUCCGAGGGGCAUGCCUGUUCGAGCGUCAUUAUAACCCCUCAAGCUCAGCUUGGUGUUGGGGCCUGCUGCACUGGCAGCCCUUAAAAUCAGUGGCGGCGCCAUCUGGCUCUAAGCGUAGUAAUUCUUCUCGCUAUGGAGUCCUGGUGGAUGCUUGCCAUCAACCCCCAAUUUUUCUAUGGUUGACCUCGGAUCAGGUAGGGAUACCCGCUGAACUUAAGCAUAUCAAUAAGCGGAGGU